rnacentral:rRNA from 1 species
AUGCAGUCGAGCGGCAGCACGGGUACUUGUACCUGGUGGCGAGCGGCGGACGGGUGAGUAAUGCCUAGGAAUCUGCCUGGUAGUGGGGGAUAACGCUCGGAAACGGACGCUAAUACCGCAUACGUCCUACGGGAGAAAGCAGGGGACCUUCGGGCCUUGCGCUAUCAGAUGAGCCUAGGUCGGAUUAGCUAGUUGGUGAGGUAAUGGCUCACCAAGGCGACGAUCCGUAACUGGUCUGAGAGGAUGAUCAGUCACACUGGAACUGAGACACGGUCCAGACUCCUACGGGAGGCAGCAGUGGGGAAUAUUGGACAAUGGGCGAAAGCCUGAUCCAGCCAUGCCGCGUGUGUGAAGAAGGUCUUCGGAUUGUAAAGCACUUUAAGUUGGGAGGAAGGGCAGUUACCUAAUACGUAUCUGUUUUGACGUUACCGACAGAAUAAGCACCGGCUAACUCUGUGCCAGCAGCCGCGGUAAUACAGAGGGUGCAAGCGUUAAUCGGAAUUACUGGGCGUAAAGCGCGCGUAGGUGGUUCGUUAAGUUGGAUGUGAAAUCCCCGGGCUCAACCUGGGAACUGCAUCCAAAACUGGCGAGCUAGAG